rnacentral:rRNA from 1 species
UACAAGGGGUGCAAGCGUUGUUCGGAUUUACUGGGCGUAAAGAGCGUGUAGGCUGCAUAUCAAGUCAGUUGUGAAAGCCCUUGGCUCAACCAAGGAAGUGCAAAUGAUACUGUUGUGCUAGAGUGUCGGAGAGGAUGAUGGAAUUUCCGGUGUAGAGGUGGAAUUCGUAGAUAUCGGAAGGAACACCAGUGGCGAAGGCGAUCAUCUGGAAGAAUACUGACGCUGAGACGCGAAAGCAUGGGGAGCAAACAGG